UUGUGAGAGUCUGCGGCUUUCACCUUUAUCCAUCGUGGAUGCUCUUGUUCGAGAAAUCCAUUCCAAACACUUUUAGUUCCUGAUCACUGCUAAAAUGCUGUCCCUUCUUUCUAUGCAACUGUUCUUUAUUUUUGGCCUAUUUUUGUCAGUCUGAGCAAUAAUGAUAAACAAUCCUUGCUGCAUUGAAACUCAGUUGAAAUGAUCCGGUGAACCCCUGCCUUGGUCCUUGCUGCAAACUGUAAUCUCAAAUACUGAAUAUGGUCGGACUUGGUCGUGGGAUCCAAGCUGCAGGAGACCGAAGCUACUUUUUCGUUACCUUCUUUCUAGCCUAGAGCGCGCGCGCUAUGUACACACACACACACACACACACACACACACACACACACCCCUCGGUAAAAGCAAGCUGAGAUGAGGUGAGGGGGUGUUCCAAUGUGAACAGAGACGCAGGGUUCAGGCUGAGGGAGCCGGGGCAGUGGGGAAACCGACGGCGUGAGCAGUGCCGGGACCAGGGGCUAUGACUAAGGUGGGCGCACCGCGUCCAGGGCGAGGACGCGAGGAAGCUGCACGAGCCUCCGGCGCUUGUCUGAGAUGCAGAAGUGGAUGACCGGGCUCCCGGGCAUAAAAUCAAAGUUCCGUGGAGCUUGGAGCUCUUAGACAGCCACGCUUGUCCGAGCUGAGAGCCCUCCGUGGUUCGAGCUCGCGCGUGGAGCGGCCUCCAGCGCUCGGUCUGCUCGGGUAGAAGCCCAUGAAGGGGGUCCCGCGGCGCUAGCUUUUGUACGGCCCCGCCUUGGCCAGCCGUGAGCUGACGCACCGGCUCCCCUGGGACGCUGGGGGCGUCGCACCGCAGCUGGAGAGAGAGAGAGAAACGAGCUGGCGGAGAGGAGCAGAAGGCAGGAGGGGAAAUCUGGCACAACGGCUGGGAGAGGAAACUUGAUGCUUCUGGGCCACCAUUUGCCAGGGCCUCGCUCGAGACGCCGAAAGAAGCCUGUUUGUGUGCUGCGGCCGUGCUGUGACUCUGGAUCUUGUCUUUCAGCCGGCGCCUCGGUUCCUGCCCAGCUGGAUUUGGGGGGCAGCAUUGCCUGGCGCAGGGAGAUCAAAUGAGACUGCAAAGAAGCAUAAAAUGAAUAGACAAUCCAACCAACCAAAGACCGGGGGCAGCAGCAGGCCAGCAAGACGGCAUCUUCUCCUUCCCAGCCUAGAAGCCCUGUGAAAUCGAGGAUCUUCCCCCUAAAACACAUACACACAAGAUAUGUGCAAUCAAGCUGCCACCGCUUGGUAAAAAGCUCAUGGUGCCUAACCAAAAAGGAUCAGGAACAGAUCCUUGAAUCAGCUGUCACUUCUAUAGAAUGGGAUUUUUUUUUCCUUCCUCCUUAACCUGCGCUGGAAAUUGCCGUUGGCUUUAUACAUCUCUAUAGAGAGAGGCUAAAGAGUCUUGCGUGAGAAAGAAGCAAUUUACAAUGCAAAUAGAGGCCUGUGAAGGGACGGAUGCUGCUGCUCACUCGUAACAGCUUGCUGCACCUUAAUAGCUGGUUUUAUUUUCUGAUAUUGAUAGAUGAAUUGUUGGCUAACGCUGCCGGAGAUUACUUGCUGAAAGGAAAAAAAAAAAAGUUCGGAAUAAACUCUGAAGGCAACAGAUCUCGUUUGGAUGUUUUAGCCGCGCACACACACAAACAGAAACCAGGUCAUAUUUACAUAAAAGGAGGAAUCUUAAGCGCGGCAAGUAUCCUGGACGACCACUCUUCGGUACUGCCAGAAAGGAUCAGGACCUGGAGUCUGGCAAGAGGAAGACAGAGGCCUGUGUGGGAAGCGAGUUGUUAUCUUUGGUUAUCUAGCUGUAUGAGUGUAUUGGUCUUCAUAAAGCUAGAUAACCGAAAGUAAAAACUCCUUCAAGAUCGCCGGGGAGCGUGUGAGAAUGAAAGACUACAGCCGAGAGACAGUAAAAACCAGAAAGGUCAGGAAUACUUAUUGAAUCUAACUUUGUUUUUGUUUUGUUUUUUUCCUUAUGAUUAAAGGUGGGAUGAGAGAAAAUUAAAUGACACACAUAUGCUAAAAUAUCAAGGUGCCAGAUAUGUCUUGAGAGGGGUUGUUGCAGCUGCAAAGGAGAAGUGUAUAGUGAUAAUGAGUAAAGAUGCAUGUGCAGUUUGUUCUAUUUUAAGGCAAAAGUUAUAUCAGGGAAUUUUUUCUUAGAAAGGGGUUGCAGAGAUAUCUGGUACCUAGUUUAAAAAUGAUUCCAUAAUAUGUAGACUUGGGCAGUUCCUUUGUGAGGCCCCUCCCUCUCAAAAUUUGAAGAUUGUGCUUGGAAAUUACUUUACAUGUAUUUGGGCUGUAUGUCUAUUUGUACGAAAUUAGACUUUCAGAAAAGUUUAUACUGGAAUGUUAAUAAUUUGUAUCUACUGAGGACUUAGAGCUAGCAGGCAAAAUGAAAAAAACAAAAAAAAGCAAGGGCUGAUUUUUAUUCUUCUAUUCAAAAUACAAGGACAGAUGCUUCUCUGUUCCAAGAGGGUUUCCUUGAGGAAGCUACUGAAGCAGAAAGACAUGAUGGAGACGAGAUCGCCUCCCCUCUUGUCAAAGUGUUAAAAAAAUGUUCUGUCUUACUCUGCGCCUAGCAUUGGAAAUGAAAGUGACAUUUACGCCACAACCCACGUGUGCGCCUCCUCUCUUUUUGUUUAAGGAUGAUCAGGUCUAUCCAGGAAACAGCUCUGGCAUCCCAAACUGAAAUAAUUAGGACGUAUAUAGACCUGACAAAAAUGGAAAGGGGGUGGGGAAUCUGAGGGUCUGUCUUGCCUAAUUGAUUCCGCUAAACGGAAUGCAGGAGAUGUGAACGGCAGGACGCUCCGAUUCCCACGCUCGGGGGCAAGUGAUAAAGCGGGGCCGGGCAGCCUAUGACAGACAGCCCUGUUGGGGGGUGGGGGUAUGAAAAAAACAUCAAGUGCACACACCAUACUCAUCUCCAUCGCUUAAGAAAGUAAAGGCAUUUCCCACCCACAGCCAUCUGCAUCUUCCCAAAUGGCAGCACCAACUGGUCUGUAGCUGCUACAUAGUCUGCUUCUGUUAAUUUUUUAACCACUGUUUAAUCUGGCCAUAAUUAAGUUUGGCUUUCUUCGUUGUUUGAGAUUUUCAGAAUUCAAGGCAAGCUAGUAGAAAGUAAUUCCAAGAAAGUCCCAUGACUGCCUGCCCCUAAUGUCAAAAUCUCAGUCCAUGAGAUUAUGGCCUUGUGACCACAUUUUUGCUUUUGUUUUGGGUGGGCAAAUGUGUAUAGAGAUAAAAUACAUAUCUCUAUAUAACAGUCGUUAUUAUAAUUUCAUGAGGCUUUUUACCUCUUAACAUGAUACAUCUAGGAACUUGGUCUAAUUGUGCUAGUAGAUAUACACUAGAAGUAAAACUAUAAAGUCAUUAGCCUGUAGAAAGUUGAUUAUGAUAACAAUAUGAUAAAAAGUUUGUUUUGGAAUAGUCUCAGCUAGAUGGGUCUAAAUAGCCAUUUUAAUGUAAUCUAAAAAUAACACUAUGCCUAGCAGAAACUUUGGAGCUUUGGAGGUCCCCAUUGUCGCCUUUUCAUAAAAGUCCUUAAGUCUUCCAUAUGUCACCAAGCAAACAUUUGUAUAGGCAUUUACACAGAAAUAUAACCAUUGCAAUUAGAAAAUAUCCAAAAUAGCCUGUUAUCUUCCACGUGGCCUAGAUUAUUGACAAUCCCAAAUAUACAAUUUUUCUUUAAAAGUAGUACAAUUUCCUUUGCAGCUUCAAUUCCUUAUAUGACUUCAGACUGGAGAAGCCUGUUAAACCACUGUUAGUUUCAGUUAGAAAGUCUGAGAGACUUUAUACAUAAAUUCUCAAUUUGGCUGCUGUACACGUGCCAGAGUUUUACUACGGUAGUGACCGUUGAGAAGACCCUUGUUUAUUUACAUUUGAAGCACUGUUUGUGCAAACAACCUUUCAUUGUUAAGUGCCUGUAUUCCUUUCAUUUACUUCAUGUCCAGGGGUGCUAUUUACCUAGAACCAUUGUCUACUACAAUUAACAUUUACAUUACAAAGUGUGUGGUUUUCUUUUUCAAGGAGGUUCAAUUAAGGCAAUAAGAUGUUUGCUGGAGAAACCUAUUGUUUACUGAAAGCACUCAAUGGAGUCAAAUUACUGAAGCUUUUGCCUACAUCUUGGUCUUUUAUGUAAAUAUGUUAAAUAUAACAUCUAAGGAAAAUAAACAAUAUUAUAAUUAUGUGUUUGCCAUUGUCAUAUCAAACUUGCUUUGUAUCAUACUAAUGUUACAUAACUUAUCGAUCAAUAAAAAUACAUUUCAAUGUUA